AUUGAACGCUGGCGGCAGGCCUAACACAUGCAAGUCGAACGAGUGGCGGACGGGUGAGUAAUGUAUGGGAAACUGCCUGAUGGAGGGGGAUAACUAUUGGAAACGGUAGCUAAUACCGCAUACCAUCGGAUGUGCCCAGAUGGGAUUAGCUUGUAGGUGGGGUAAAGGCUCACCUAGGCGACGCUCCCUAGCGGGUCUGAGAGGAUGAGCAGCCACACUGGGACUGAGACACGGUCCAGACUCCUACGGGAGGCAGCAGUGGGGAAUAUUGCACAAUGGGCGCAAGCCUGAUGCAGCCAUGCCGCGUGUAUGAAGAAGGCCUUCGGGUUGUAAAGUACUUUCGUCAGGGAGGCGUUACCCGCAGAAGAAGCACCGGCUAACUCCGUGCCAGCAGCCGCGGUAAUUC
rnacentral:rRNA from 1 species